rnacentral:rRNA from 1 species
UACGAACCGUGCGAACGUUGUUCGGAAUCACUGGGCUUAAAGGGCGCGUAGGCGGGCUCGCAAGUCCGGGGUGAAAGCCCCCAGCUCAACUGGGGAAGUGCCUUGGAAACUGCGGGUCUAGAGGGAGGUAGGGGCAUGUGGAACUUCGGGUGGAGCGGUGUAAUGCGUUGAUAUCCGGAGGAACGCCGGUGGCGAAAGCGACGUGCUGGAUCUCUUCUGACGCUGAGGCGCGAAAGCCAGGGUAGCGAACGGG